rnacentral:rRNA from 1 species
GAGUAAUCUGCCCUCGAGUGGGGGACAACCUCGCGAAAGCGGGGCUAAUACCACAUAAUAAUCUGCAGCAUAAGCUGUCAGAUUCAAAGCCUUCGGGUGCUUGAGGAUGAGCUUGCGUCCUAUUAGCUAGUUGGUAGGGUAAUGGCCUACCAAGGUGACAAUGGGUAGCCGGCCUGAGAGGGUGACCGGCCACACUGGGACUGCGACACGGCCCAG